rnacentral:rRNA from 1 species
UAUUGGGCGUAAGCGCGCGCAGGUGGUUCCUUAAGUCUGAUGUGAAAGCCCACGGCUCAACCGUGGAGGGUCAUUGGAAACUGGGGAACUUGAGUGCAGAAGAGGAAAGUGGAAUUCCACGUGUAGCGGUGAAAUGCGUAGAGAUGUGGAGGAACACCAGUGGCGAAGGCGACUUUCUGGUCUGUAACUGACACUGAGGCGCGAAAGCGUGGGGAGCGAACAGGAUUAGAUACCCUGGUAGUCCACGCCGUAAACGAUGAGUGCUAAGUGUUAGAGGGUUUCCGCCCUUUAGUGCUGCAGCUAACGCAUUAAGCACUCCGCCUGGGGAGUACGGCCGCAAGGCUGAAACUCAAAGGAAUUGACGGGGGCCCGCACAAGCUGUGGAGCAUGUGGUUUAAUUCGAAGCAACGCGAAGAACCUUACCAGGUCUUGACAUCCUCUGACAACCCUAGAGAUAGGGCCUUCCCUUUCGGGGGACAGAGUGACAGGUGGUGCAUGGUUGUCGUCAGCUCGUGUCGUGAGAUGUUGGGUUAAGUCCCGCAACGAGCGCAACCCUUGAUCUUAGUUGCCAGCAUUCAGUUGGGCACUCUAAGGUGACUGCCGGCGACAAACCGGAGGAAGGUGGGGAUGACGUCAAAUCAUCAUGCCCCUUAUGACCUGGGCUACACACGUGCUACAAUGGAUGGUACAAAGAGCCCGCAAACCCGCGAGGGCAAGCUAAUCUCAUAAAGCCAUUCUCA